GCUGGUUUGCCCGAGAGGUUAAGGGGGUAGACUUAAGAUCUACUGCACGUAAGUGCGCGUGGGUUCGAACCCCACAGCCAGCA